AUAUUUCGCAAUGUGGGGAACCCUGACGCUGCGACGCCGCGUGAGCUAUGAAGGCCUUCGGGCCGUAAAGCUCUGUCCUCCGGGAAGAAGAAAGUGACGGUACCUGAGCAGAAAGCCCCCGCUAACUACCUGCCAGCGGCCGCGGUACUACGUUGGGGGCGCGCGUUGUCCGGAAUUACUGGGCGUAAAGGGUACGUAGGCGGCUAUAUAAGUCAGGUGUGAAAUACCAGUGCUUAACACUGGAAUUGCAUUUGAAACUGUGUAGCUUGAGUGCAGGAGAGGAAAGUGGAAUUCCUAGUGUAGCGGUGAAAUGCGUAGAGAUUAGGAGGAACACCAGUGGCGAAGGCGACUUUCUGGACUGUAACUGACGCUGAGGUACGAAAGCGUGGGUAGCGAACA
rnacentral:rRNA from 1 species